ACCACGGAAAAAUAAACAGAUGUUAAGAAAACUGUUUGAUCCUGCACAGUGCGUUCUAUCGGCCUACCUACUUUAUUCACCGAAAAGUCCACACAAGACGAAAUCUCUUUGCAAAAAAAAAAAA